rnacentral:lncRNA from 1 species
UUUUGUUUUCAUCAGGCAUCAUCAAAACAUUCAUUAAAAAAAAAAACCCGUUAGGACAGUGAAAUGUCCCGUCAUGACAAAGUGAGAUUAGAUCAACAUCUUGUCAUCCAUGUGCAGAACUCGACAUUGCAAAACACAUUGAGAAAUACAGAAUGACUGGAUAAGAUGAUUCCAUCUCCAUCCUUAUAAAGAGACGGGUAACUCACGACUGCUCAGCAGAGACGUCCUCAUCACCUCUAGAUCUCACAGUGCUCACUUUGCUGUCUGUGACACCAGUUUUUUCUUUGGUUCUGACAAACAAGCUGUGGAAAGGAUGAAGUGUGUUAUGAUCUUUCUGGUGUUGACGCUGGUCGUCAUCAUGGCUGAACCCGGGGAGAGUCAAUAUCCACCUUCGUGUGUCCCGUGCCGACCUCGAGGGAAAUUACUCAGACGGGAAAGAAUCCAAGAUGAAGUGGCCAAAGAUAAACUGAUGAGAUACUAUGAAGACUGAGUCUGUUCUUGAUUUUGAAGAUACAGUUUGAGCUAUAUCUUUGUGCUUUGCAAAGCAAGAAAUAAUUGUAUGAAUAAACAUGAAGCUCUUGAGAUGUAGAGAUUUUAGUCACAGCUCACAUUGAUGUUGAAAAAAGUAAAAUUGCUUGAUAGUGAAAACUAUCCUGCUGAAUAAAGCUGCAUUCCAAAACACCGUCUCUGUGUUGUGGUGUUAUUUAAGUGAACAUGUGCUUGUAAUUUUAUUGGUGAUGAUGAUCAAAAACAUUGUUUUUCAUUUAGUCAGACAUAAAUGUUUGUAUUUAGUAGAUCUAAAUAAUGAGUGUUGGUGUGAUCAGUUUAUUAAAUGAACACUCUUCCUCUUUCUUUCUCUUUCUGAAUGUACUUGUGUCUCUGAUAAAGCAGCACUUUGGAA